GGAUGACACCUAUCAUCCACUCAGGAAAGGGAGGAAGGUCCACACAGUAGUAUACCAUCUUCCAUGGAAGGUCACCCAUCUACAUUGGAUCUAAACUGUGUUGGGGGGGGCGCCUGGGUGGCUCAGUGGGUUAAGCCGCUGCCUUCGG